UAUUGUUAUAGAAAUCAAUUUAUAUAAUUUAUAAUUAGCAUUAUAAGCAUGAAUGCAUUUUUUAAAUUCUUACAACGAUUUCGCCAAGUCAAUAGAAACCUCAAACCAAUAGAAGUGUCUAAGGCUGCUGGGGCGAUUUGGCGACGUAUGACGGAGGCGGAGAAGCAAUACUAUGCCCACUUAAAUAUUAAUCAGAUUAAAGGCCCAACACCUAAAUUGUGCCAAAAAUGUGGCAGACAAAAGCGUAACAAGCCCCCUGGUCUAAAUGUUAAUAAUCCAGUGCAUCCUAAAAGAGCAGAUAAAGUCAAAUCUGUGGUGAAGCUUAAGCCAAAAAAGAAGCCUAUAAAGACAAGUGAACGCCAUUCGCAAACUUUUAACUAAAAAGAAACGUAUGCAGACUGGAUGGAGAUGAAUUUGCUGGCAAAUAACAAUCCGUGCAAAUAAUAACCAUGGCUUAGAAAUUCGAAACUUACAUCCAGUCUCUUAAAAAUGAUAUGAUACAUCUGAACACCUGCGAUGUCUCAUCAAGAAAAAAUGCUCUUAUCCAAAACAGUUUAAAUAAAUUAAACGCUAUAGCAAUAAAUCCAUCUCUAUGUUAUUAUGGACCAAAUGCAAAAUUUCAUAAAGUAAUGAAGGUGGUAUAUGAAAUG